rnacentral:rRNA from 1 species
GACGAACGCUGGCGGCGUGCCUAAUACAUGCAAGUAGAACGCAGUUGCGAACGGGUGAGUAACGCGUAGGUAACUGCCUGGUAGCGGGGGAUAACUAUUGGACACGUUAGCUAAUACCGCAUCCUACCAGCUGGACCUGCGUUGUAUUAGCUAGUUGGUGAGGUAACGGCACACCAAGGCAACGAUACAUAGCCGACCUGAGAGGGUGAUCGGGCACACUUGGCCUGGGAAACGGCCCAGACUCCGUCGGGCAGCAGCAGUAAGGAAUCUUCGGCAAUGGGGGGAACCCUGGCCGAGCAACGCCGCGUGAGUGAAGGAGGUUUUCGGAGCGUAAAGCUCUGUUGUUAAGGAAGCGGUACUUAACCAGAAAGGGACGGCUAACUACGUGCCAGCAGCCGCGGUAAUAC